rnacentral:lncRNA from 1 species
AGAAUGCUGUGGAAAAGUUUCUGAGAAGGGAGAGAAAUGGAGGGAAGUGAGACAUGACUAAGAUGUAGGUAAAAAGGAAUAAAGGUUUUCCCUGCUCAAAACUCUCAUGAAGAAAUUAAUGGAGAAGGAAAGCACAAAGCAUGCUUGAAAGAAAGCAAGAGUCUUCUUAUAAGUAUCACCUCCCAUGGAGUGAUAAGAAGUCAAACUCAUCCAUCAUGUCAGUGGGAAGAGAAGGUAUAAAUGAUAGAAGAGAUCCAAGUUUAUCAGGAAAGGAUAAAGGGCAGCUUACAAUUUGGAUCAAAACGGCAAAUUUUGAUACAUCUGCCUACGCUGUCCCUCACAGCAAGCCUGGAGACAUUAGAAAAUAAAAAUAUAAGGUGUCAGAAUGGAUGUAAACUAGAAGAAAACAGAAAUACUUGGAAAACUGAAGAUACGUGGGUCUCACUAUACAGAAAAAUGGUGGCUGGGAGAAGAACAGAGCUAGGGCCUAAGAGACCCGAAUAGGGCCUGAGCCCAGCUGGGGUGGGAAAACUGUAGCAGUUUGGAGCUACACCCUUUGCCUUCUGACAGAGCACCCUGGGCAUGAGCUGAUUGAUGCCCCACACGCUCACACCCCCAUGGAUGUUCUCACAUGGUAUGUGAGCACACUGGUUGUUGUUGCUGGCCAGGUAAACACUCAGAAUAGUGAGUUAUACAAAUAAGUACAGGGAUAUGAUAUUACCUGAAGGUCCACCUUGUACAUGUUCCUGGUGUGAGAGCAGUAGCGUUACCCAGAUGCAGGAAGACAAUGACAGAACAAGGCCAUGAAAAGGAUGGCUACACACAGAGCAGCUUUUGUAUAGCUAUACCAUUUAUCUUGGACCUGGCAAUUGAGACUAAAGAAAGGUGUUAUCAGACAAAAGUAGUGCUUUGGGAAGUAGGAAGAAGACACCUUGGGUGCAAAAAAAUGCCAUGAAGAAUUGAAAUGGUUGAAGCUCAUAUUAGAGUACUUGUUUCAGACAUCUGUCUUGCUCUUCAGCCCCUACUUUUACCAAGAGAGAGGAGGAAAAGUCUAGAGAGCAAACAGACUCAAGAAAACAAACCUGAGCUUGGGACAAAAACAAUCUUACAGUAUUGAUAAAGCUCAAGCAUUGAGAAAGAAAAGCAAAAAGAGGCCUAUCUGUAACACAAGAGUUUUGAGGAACUGCUGCUGAGACUGAAAGAGGAAAUCUAAAAAGAGAGAGCAUGGACAAGUGGGGACUGGAGACUGAACAGCAAGAACUGUUUGGUUCAUUUACCCCACGGAAAAAUUGUGAAACCAGUGGGGUCUUUAUGAGUUUUUAGGUUGACAUCUGAAAUUUGUAACAUAAUUCUAAUAACUGCAAAAGAUAUGGUUUCCCAUGUAUUACAUGUUUUAUAAUACUUUAAAUAUAUUUUGAUCGAAAUCGGCAGAGUUUGUUCAUUCAAUUAGUGGGAAACUCCAGUUUUCAAUCAAACCUAUCAGCCAAAGAGGUUAAAUUUCUGAGAGACAACAUCUGACUUCAUUUCUAGAGUCAAUCAACUUGGUACUACAUAUGGCUUCUAUGAGCUCCUUGCUGCUGAGUGAGAAUUCUGAGAUGUUAACCACCUUGCUCUGGCAUGGUGCCUUGUCUGGACAUGCUUCCUCACAGAAACAAAGCCUUUGUCCUCAGGAAGGAAACAUGCUUGAGCUGUCCUUUUGUUGAGUGCCCAAGAGGUUUUACACACUGGGUCAGAGCAAUUUCCAGAUAGCUGAGAGCGGUGCUUGCCUUUUCCCACUGUUUCCUGUAGAGUAAAAAAAGAGCAAUUGACAAAGGGGAAUGGA